ACUCAAAUGAAUAGACGGGGGCCCGCACAAGCGGCGGAGCGUGCGGUUUAAUUCGACGCGACGCGCAGAACCUUACCCGGGCUUGACGUGCUCCUGCAUCCCCGGGAAACCGGGUGGCCUUCGAGGGUGGAGCGCAGGUGCUGCAUGGCUGUCGUCAGCUCGUGCCGUGAGGUGUUGGGUUAAGUCCCGCAACGAGCGCAACCCCCGCCGCCAGUUGCAGAUUCUCUGGCGGGACAGCCCCGCGAGGGGAGGAAGGAGGGGAUGAUGUCAAGUCAGCAUGGCCCUUACGUCCGGGGCGACACGCACGCUACAAUGGCCGGGACAACGGGUUGCCAAGCCGUGAGGCGGAGCCAAUCCCCCAAACCCGGUCUCAGUUCGGAUCGGGGGCUGCAACCCGCCCCCGUGAAGCCGGAGUCGCUAGUAACCGUGGGUCAGCACUACCGCGGUGAAUGUGUUCCCGGGCCUUGCACACACCGCCCGU
rnacentral:rRNA from 1 species